GUUCGCUGUCCAUCCUAUUUCAUGAUCAGACAAGGGUCGGGGAAGAAGCUGUUAUGCCUUCACGCGAUGCGUUCAGGAAAAAGGCUUUUGGUGGUGUUGCUCGUGCUGCACUGGAGCGCUCGCGGCAGCGCGGUGACGGACGGUUCAACUGAGACUCAUCCCCAAUGUGACACUGAUGGAUCGACCGUAAGAUGCACAUUGGAAGAGACUCAUUUGAUGAGUCCUGACCCAAUUAAACUGGAUUUCACUGAAGGACAAACUGUGGAAAUUUACAGUGCAUGCCAACAAAACGGCUCAGAUGGGCUUAAGUGUCUCUGCCAAAGGAUAAAUACCUCUAUGCAUGCAUUACAGCACACUGAGAGAUUUGGAAAUGAAACAUACACUGUAAUCUGUGGCAAUCAUAGUGUUACAGUUGUUCGGUCACCACAAAGGAGGCCAUCAGUUCCAGUGCUCAAAGCUAUCCCAAAAGCAGGGUCUACAAAUAUAGCUCAAUUAGUGUGUACUUCUGAGGGGAACCCAAAACCAACCAUCAGGUGGUAUGGUAACAGGUAAUAUGACAUUAUGGCCUGCUACCAUUGUAGAUACUGCUUCUGAAGAGCUGGUUUCUUGUUGGGAGAAUUGAUUACAUAAAAUGCUGCUGUAACUGUAUGUCCGUGAUUCAACUGUUUUCCUUUUAGAAAUAAUCCAGAGGAGGGCAUGAAAAAUAAGUGGUAUAAGACAGAGAGCAUUGUGACGAGUGACGAUGAUCAUCAUGAAAGUCCAAAUAUUACGUGCUGUGCCAAUAAUUCACUGGGAAAAGAAUGUACUCAGCUUCAUCAUUUCGGUAU
rnacentral:lncRNA from 1 species